rnacentral:tRNA from 4 species
GAGAGAGGCUUUGAGCAGCGGAACCUGCUAACUUUCGCAUCCUUGGUUAGACCCCAGGGCUCACUCA